AAAAAUAUUAUACAUGAUAAUAAAGUACCUUUAAGAGAUAAUGCUGUGACUUACUUCAAGCCUCGAGUGGCCCCAUUUUGGCACUACGUCAAGGUUGAGCUAGUUUCCUCCAACCCCUGGUGAAAUCCCUACAGCUAUUCAGAGCAUGAAAAAAACAAUUGAAAGUGCUAAAACUGGUAGCUUCAAACAGCUUACAGUUAAGGAAGCUGUGCGGAAUGGCUUGUUGGCCACUGAGGUGUGGAUGUGGUCUUAUCUCCGAGAGAUCAUAGGCAAACGUGUAAUUUUUGGCUAUGAUGUUUGA
rnacentral:lncRNA from 1 species